rnacentral:tRNA from 1 species
GGGGGUGUAGCUCAGUUGGUUAGAGCGCCGGCCUGUCACGCCGGAGGUCGCGAGUUCGAGUCUCGUCACUCCCGCCA